CUCUUUACCUUUAUUUCUACAAGUCUUAAAUUAUCACAAAUAAUAAGUACAAUACGUGUGGCACAAUGCACUCCAGCCCUGACCUUUUUUACAACUAAAGUUGCCAUCUGAAAAAAAACUUACCAUCCGAAAAAAAGUUGUCAUGCUUGACUAUUAAAAUUGUCAUACUUGCAUCACUAAGUUUGCCAUGAAAAACGUUCGGAGUUGCCAUGUGUUUGUACCACACAUGUGACACUUAUCAUUGUCCUAAAUUAUUUGUCUGUUAAUUUAUAAUACAUACUGUAAAAUUUCCGGACAAUUCAAAUCAAAAGGAAGGUAAAACGAAGAAAGUGUCAACAAAGAAUUUUGUGAACAUUCAUGGGGGAUCAAUAUCAUGAGUUGUCCAGGAAGAAACAAUAAUAACAGAAGCUAAAAUAUAAACCGACACCCUGGGUUUAGAUUACUAGAUACACACACAAACACAUUUGUUGCCUCGAUUGUUUCCUCUCCACCGAUCAACCCACGUACGCAUGCACACAAGAUGAGUAUCUUCACUUCUGCUCUGCUCUAGUUAGACUCGAGCUGCGCGUACCACACACCCUGGAUCUUGACAUCCUUGGGCGCCUUGGCGCCGAGGUCGGUGUCUGACGGCUGCACGCUCUCGAAGACACCGAUCACCUCGCCGGUCUCCGGCUUGCUCUUGGUCACGCUGAGCGUGAUGUUGCCCGUGGACGAGGACGCGUUCUUCACGUUCUCCUUAGCCAACUCCUCCUCGUCUCCUCUGCCUCCGGCGGGUAGCGCCACGGCGUUGUCGUAGCCAGUAGAGCCACCACGGCCCUUUGGGUCGAGGAAAGACGAACCCCUGUAGCUGGGCACGAGGAAGGGCCCGCUGAAGCUCUCGGGCUUGCCGGUAGCGACGAGCUGCUUGACGGUGAAGAGGAAGGGCACUCGCUCGCCUCCGGGGAGCUGCACGGUGACGGCCGCGUAGUCGAUGCCGUCCUUCUCCUCGAACUUGAGGGUGCCGUCGGCGCCGACCUCGAGCGGGCCUUCCAUCUCGUCAAGGGUGUAGGUGAGACGGGUCAUGAGCUUGGUUUUCUGGAAGGCCGGCGGCUCGUUCUUCUGGAUGCCCUCGGCCUUGACGGUGAAGGAGGUGGGCUCCAGGCAGAACUUCUUCAUCUCGUACUUGCCGGCCUUGAAGGGGAAGGAGUCGACGCCGCCGUCGAUGGUCGGGCACUGGUUCGCGGUGCCGGUACCCUUCACCUCCAUGUAGGUCUUGCUCUGGAUCUCGUCGAAGGUCAGCCUCUUGGGCGCCCCCUCCGCGCUCGCGCCCUGCACCCACGCCUGUCACUCUAGCUAGCUGGACUGGAGUGGAGUAAACGGCCAUGGACGGCAAUAGAAUGGAUUAGUCAGCUUACGGAGACGAGGAGGGCAGAGGUGGCGAGGGCGAAGCCGGCCAUCUUGGCGGCGUCGGCGCACUUGCUUGCGACCUCCCUGAUGUCGGACUGCAGGGAGCAGGUGAUCCUGGCGCCAGCGUCAACGCCGAACGCCCGGGCGACGUGCGACGACGGCCGCGCGGAGGAGGCCCGGCCGCCGAUCUUGGCCGGCAUCAGCGUGGCCGCGGCUUGGAGAGACGCUGCCAUGUUGGUCGGUGGCUUGGUACGCGGGAGGAUCGAUCCCACUCGUGGUUGAGAGGCGUGUUGUCAGGGCAGGCAAGUGUUAUCUAUGCGAGGCGCGGAUAAGAGACGGCCUCCCAUUGGUGGCUUCCGGAUAAGAGUAUCCAUUUGUUCCCAUGCGCGCAUACGCACCAGCCAGUCAUUCCCCCUCUGCCGAUCCAGCACCAGCCACGAGGUUGGGCCGCGCCCAGAGCGCGCGCCGGCGCAGUUCGCCCGUCGCUAUCACCGUCCUUGCAGCCUGUACUCAUCAUUGUCAGCUGACCAGCUGCUAAGCCGCUAUUGUGCGGCUUCCCCUCCACCUCCAGUGCCACCCACCAGCUGCUCGGCACGGCCGUGUUCCAGUGAUCUUUGCCGCUCAUCACGACGCACAGCGUGCUCCCUUAAGCCAUAAAUGCACAUCCGCCAUGAACACCACUGUGCGGAACCGCCCAUGCCGCCGGCCUGGCUUUAGGAUCUCCAUCCUCAGUCCGUGCUCUGAACGGCCUGGCUUUAGUGCCGCGGUCACCACAACACCACGGCUACGCACUCAUGGUCCGCAACGGCAAUCAAAUCGAUCCAUUAUACACACACAUUAAAUCUCGCUGUACAAUUUCUCUUUCUCUCUCAGCCAUCCGUCGCCUGACGAGAGCCACCGGCGUGCCGCGCCGAGCCGGCGGCACACAGGGAAACUGAGCUCAUCAGCGUGUGCUUUAAGGGCUAAGAGCAUCUACAACCAUGAUAACCUAAUUUAGCGCCCUAUACACCGGCGGGAGUGUUUGGGCGUGUCCGCUAGCAGUGCGCGAACAAUACCCAAUUUGUCCUCCCCACAACCACAACCAUCAAAUUUGAAUACCGUAUUUCAUACAAAACCACAGAGUCUGCGUAAUCCAUAGAGAUAGCAUAAAUGUAAGCAAAGGAUAUGCAAUUUGUUCGUCCAAAAGGGCCGAGAUAGUUCAAAUUCAACCUAAAAUGAAAGUAAAACAACUAAAAUAUAAAUAUACCAAGACAGGCGGCCGGAGUCCACCACUUGGCCGGUCCUUGCCCUUGAAGUCGCGGCGCGGCGGUCCGUCUUCUUCAUUUACGCGUCAGUGGCAGGAGGGUCAUCGUCGUCCACGGUGGUGCAGCUCUCCGAUGCGGACGAAAUGUAGCCGGAGAGGCGACAGAGGAGGCACUAUUGCUCCUUCGCGUGACGGGCUGUAACGCCCCGGAUGUAACUUUCCCUAUUUGUACUCCAACUUUUGCCGUUUCGGACGUUAAGUUAUAUUUAUUUCUCGGGUUCGGGUCUUUGUCUCCGUGUGUUGUUUUCUUUGUCAUGCAUCUCAUAUCAUGUCAUCAUGUGCAUUGCUUUUGCAUACGUGUUCUUCUCAUGCAUUCGAGCAUUUUCCCCGUUGUCCGUUUUGCAUUCCGGCGCUUCGUUCUCCUCCGGUGGUCAUUUCUAGCUUUCUUUCGUGUGUGGGGAUUAAACAUUUUUGCAUUGGACCGAGACUUGCCAAGCGGCCUUGGUUUACUACCGGUAGACCGCAUGUCAAGUUUCGUAUCUUUUGGAAUUCGUUUGAUACUCCAACGGUUAACCGCGGGACCGCAAAGGCCUCGUGUGUGUUGCAGCCCAACACCCCUCCAAUUUGGCCCAAAACCCACCAAACUCUGCUCCAUGUCCUAAAGCGUUCGAUCACGAUCGCGUGCCCUAAAACCGCACCUCAUUUGGACUCUCCUAGCUCCCUCUAUGCCUAUAUAUAUAUACCCUUCCAUUCCAAAUCUCGGACUCUCUCCCCCCUAACCCUAAAAAAAAUAGAUCUCCACCGCCGCCGGAUCCGCCGCCGCCUACCGCCGCUUGCCAUGUGGCCUCGCCUGUCCCCGCCGCCGCCGCGGCCCGGGANNNNNNNNNNNNNNNNNNNNNNNNNNNNNNNNNNNNNNNNNNNNNNNNNNNNNNNNNNNNNNNNNNNNNNNNNNNNNNNNNNNNNNNNNNNNNNNNNNNNNNNNNNNNNNNNNNNNNNNNNNNNNNNNNNNNNNNNNNNNNNNNNNNNNNNNNNNNNNNNNNNNNNNNNNNNNNNNNNNNNNNNNNNNNNNNNNNNNNNNNNNNNNNNNNNNNNNNNNNNNNNNNNNNNNNNNNNNNNNNNNNNNNNNNNNNNNNNNNNNNNNNNNNNNNNNNNNNNNNNNNNNNNNNNNNNNNNNNNNNNNNNNNNNNNNNNNNNNNNNNNNNNNNNNNNNNNNNNNNNNNNNNNNNNNNNNNNNNNNNNNNNNNNNNGAGGCGUCGCCGCCCGGCGCCGCUCCGCCGCCACCAUCGGUCACCAUCGACGGCCCCGCCUCACCUCCUCAUGCCGGCCGCCGCCCUGCCUGUCGCUGGCGAACGGCGCUCCGGCCGCCUCGGUUCGCGCGCGGGGUAAAAAAAGAACCCUAGAUCUGAUCUGAGAGAGGGUUUUUUUUUCACUAAGUCCCUAAAUCUUUAGUCCAAGUUGCUAUGUUCGAGACUCCGUAACUUUGCAUCCGUAGCUCCGAUUUGGGCAUGUAGCAUAUCAAAGUGUUCAUCUCAGAGAGUACAUCAUUUCUUUCCAUUACAUCAUUUUCAUUUGAGCUCACCUUGAUGCCCGAAGUGCUAUUAGAAGAGGGCUUCGUGAAUUAAUUGUCAGAUCUGCUAGUUCAUCUUAGACUUUUGUCAUUUUUGCCAUGAUUGUUGUGUGCGUGAUAUGCCUGUGAGUCCUUCAUAUGUUUUGAUAAGGAUUUUGUGUUCUUUCCAGGGGUGCAACCCAUGCAUUUUUAGGAUGUGUGUGGUGACUUGUGCAAGUUUGCAAAGUGAGGCACCCGGUAAAUCAGUUUUCAGGGACUUAGUAGUUUUCACUAAGAGUGGGAUUAUUUAGUUCAUGGUGCCAUAUGUUCAGCUCGUUUCCUAGUGAUCCGUGCCUCUUUUGAGGAUAAUCAGUAACGGAGUUUUGUUAAUCAUGUUAUGCUCUAUCCAUCCAUGUCUUUGUUUGCAAUUAUGGGGCACCCUAGCUUGAGUCAAUCAAACUCUACUUUUGCUUCGUUGUGAGUCUGGGCAGAUCGUCAACUUGUUUGCGAUUUUGCCGAUGUUAUUGUAGUUGAUCCGUGCAUGCUAUGUCAUUGUUCUUGCCAUGUCUAGCUUGCAUUUUGUGCCUUCUUAAUGGAUGUAUGCUUGCCUUGCCAUUACUUGCACCGUGGUGAGUGCAUCGAGCUCGUUUACGUGCCUUCAUGAGUUAUAUUUCAGCAUGUCCCAGUUUUCACUAAGUCUGAAAACUGAUUGUAUUUUAGCUAUGUUUGUGUGCCCGUUAGUAUAUUUUAUGGACCCUUUUGGCCCCAGGUCAUUUUGGGUCUUUUGUUAAGCUUGUUGAGUAGCUCUAUGCCAUGUUCUUAUUUGUCUUAAUCAGGUCAUGUAUCAUGUUGUUUUGCUGCUCCGAAGAGGGCUUCACGAUCUGAAAUUUCAGACAAGUGUUAAUUUCACUAAGUCUGGAAUCUGUUUUGCAUUUGCGUUUUUGCCAUGCUUGUUUGAACCUCAUAAUGGAUGAAUUGGCCGUGUCUCAGUGCUAGUCUUUUGUUAAGCAUCUUGUGUGCAUCCCUGCCAUGUAUUUUGUUGUCAUGUUUGGUUGCUGUAGCAUGUUCAUCUCAUUGCAUUUAAAUGUCUACUUGCUGUAAAUUGCAGACCGGUGUCAUUCUUAAAACGCUUGCCAUUUCCAAACCGUAACUCCGUUUCCAAUGAUCUUUAUAUCGUUUUCAAGCGAUUUCAUCCCCUAUUUCCAGUGGAACCCUUGGAAUUCCAAGUUGAGGCCAGGUUCAUGCAUUUCCUGCCAUAUCUUGCAUUUUGCAUCCCGCAUCGCAUCCCGCAUAGCAUAUCAUCAUUUCAUCAUAUUGCUUGGUCUUGCACGUGGUUGAUUGUAUCCUUGUUGCUUGUUUGUCUUGUUUGGGUAGAGCUGGGAGACAAGUUCGCUAACGAGGAGCCCGUUGAGUUUGCUCUUGAGGAUCCAGUCAACUCUGACAACUGUGCAGGCAAGAUGAUCAUACCCUCGAAAUCACUACUAUCUUUGCUAUGCUAGUUUGCUCACUCUUUUGCUGUGCCAUUGCUGCGAUGCCUACCUUUUGCUUGUCAGCAUCCCAAAUUGCCAUGUCAACCUCUAACCCACCAUGUCCUAGCAAACCGUUGAUUGCUAUGUUACCGCUUUGCUCAGCCCCCUCUUAUAGCGUUGCUAGUUGCAGGUGAAGAUUGGAGGCCGUUCCUUGUUGGAACAUUUAUUUACUUGUUGGGAUAUCAUUAUAUUGCUAUGUUAUCUUAAUGCAUCUAUAUACUUGGUAAAGGGUGGAAGGCUCGGCCUCUCGCCUAGUGUUUUGUUCCACUCUUGCCGCCCUAGUUUCCGUCAGAUCGGUGUUAUGUUCCCGGAUUUUGCGUUCCUUACGCGGUUGGGUUAUUAUGGGAACCCCUUGAUAUUUCUUCUUGAUUAAAGCUUUUACGGCAAUGCCCAACAUUGGUUUUACCAUUCGCCACCUAGCCCUUUUCUUUCCCUUGGGUUCUGCAGACUCAAGGGUCAUCUUAUUNNNNNNNNNNNNNNNNNNNNNNNNNNNNNNNNNNNNNNNNNNNNNNNNNNNNNNNNNNNNNNNNNNNNNNNNNNNNNNNNNNNNNNNNNNNNNNNNNNNNNNNNNNNNNNNNNNNNNNNNNNNNNNNNNNNNNNNNNNNNNNNNNNNNNNNNNNNNNNNNNNNNNNNNNNNNNNNNNNNNNNNNNNNNNNNNNNNNNNNNNNNNNNNNNNNNNNNNNNNNNNNNNNNNNNNNNNNNNNNNNNNNNNNNNNNNNNNNNNNNNNNNNNNNNNNNNNNNNNNCAGUGCUCCUUUGAGUGUUGGUCCACCUGUCAGCUACCGGUGGCCACCAGGGGCAACUCUGGGCUGGCCUACCCGUACCUAGGACAAUUUGAGUGUGCCCUGAGAAAGAGAUAUGUGCAGGUCCUAUCGGGAUUUGUCGGCACAUUCGGGCGGUGUUGCUGGUCUUGUUUUAACUUGCCGAAGUGUCCUGAGUUACCGAGAUACUGAGUCUGAUCGGAAUGUCUUGGGAGGAGGUCUAUUCCUUCGUUGACCGUGAGAGCUUGUCGUGGGCUAAGUUGGGACUCCCCUGCAGGGAUUGAACUUUCGAAAGUCAUGCCCGCGGUUAUGGGCAGAUGGGAAUUUGUUAAUGUCCGGUUGUAGAUAACUUGAACCUUAAUUAAUUAAAAUGAAUCAACUGAGUGUGUUACCGUGAUGGCCUCUUCUCGGUGGAGUCCGAGAAGUGGACACGGUGUUGGAGUUAUGCUUGCGCAGGUUGUUCUUCUAGAUUCUUGCUCGCGCUUUGCCUCCUCUUCUCGCUCUCUUUUGCGUAUAAGUUAACCACCACAUAUGCUAGUCGCUUGCUGCAGCUCCACAUAUAUAUUUUCCUAUCCUUCCUAUAAGCUUAAAUAGUCUUGAUCGCGAGGGUGCGAGAUUGCUGAGUCCCUGUGGCUCACGGUACUAUAACUCCUGAUGCAGGUCCAGGUGAUUCCGCUCCAGGUGACGAGUACGAGCUCAAGUGGGAGUUCGACGAGGACUCUCAGCGUUACUAUGUGUCUUUUCCUGAUGAUCAGUAGUGGUGCCCAGUUGGGGGUGAUUGGGACCGUGUCGCAUGUUGGGUUCUCUUCUAUUUUGGCACCAUAGUCGGGCCAUGAGUGUGUUGGUUGAUGUAAUGUUAUUUAUGUUCUUGAUUGACGUGGCGAGUGUAAGCCAACUAUGUUAUCUCCCCUUAUUAUUUACAUUACAUGGGAUGUUGUGAAGAUUGCCUAACUUGCGACAUAUGCCUUCAAUGCGAUUAUGUCUCUAAGUCGUGCCUCGACACGUGGGAGCUAUAGUCGUAUCGAGGGUGUUACAAGUUGGUAAUCAGAGCCUUCCCCGACCUUAGGAGCCCCAUUGCUUGAUCUUUUUUAGCGGCCGAGUUGUGUCUAGAAAAAUGUUUUGAGUCAUUUAGGAAUUAUAUAUCGGAGAGCUUAGGAAUUCUUUUUACUUCCCAGUCUCCUCGUCGCUCUGGUAAGGCAUCCUGACGUAGAGUUUUGACUCUUCUCUUCUCAAAUUUCACUAAAAAAAUUAGGAUCACGCGAGUAUCUUGGAAUCGUUCCGAUGGCUUAUGAUGAGAAUACUGUCUUGGUGCCUCCUGUCAGGGGUUUAGUGGAAGUGUCCCGGGGAGUUGAGCUCUGAGGUGUUGUCAUCAUAAUUUUAUCGUUGCAAUUCUGGAAUACUUGAGUUUAGUACGCCGACAUCGAAAAUCUCUUUUAUGCAGUUCGUUGGUGAGAUAACCUCGACGCCACCCAGUACUGGGGCGGGAGUUCAGGAGUAUCGCCAUAACUUGUAUAACGGAUGCUUUUCGAAGGUUGAGGUAGAUGGUUUCCGAAGUUUUCUUGGUUAUGUGUUGAAGGAUGGAUACAGCUGGAUGUAGGAUUUGCUAGUUUGGGUGAGAUAUUAUGCUUCCCCUAUAUCCCCAACACCUGAUUGCAUAACUGGAAAGGUUCGGGAGUUUCAUAGGUGGGAAUUCUAGUAGCUCUAGAUCUUCUUCCACGAAUAUUGGUUUGAGAUUGGGAUUUCUUACCGAUUAUUCGUUCUUGAUCCGUACCUUGUUGUUUUACUUCUUCUACCUUAAUUCUACGUGGCUUCUCAAUUUAUGGAUAUGUGACCAUUUCAAGAGGAAUGCAUUCGUUCAUUUUGUUCGGAUGUGAAGACUAUAUGUUGCAAUUUUCAUUCCGUUGGAUUCAACUUCAAUAUUUAUCUGUCAAUGUGCUAAUGGUGGUCAACCUCUUCAGGAUGGCUCCUCCAACGCGCACGACUCUGAAUCCUGAUCCGCCACCACCUCCACCUCCUCCAGAGGCAUGGCAAGCUGUGAUGGCCGCAACCAAUGCAAACACACAGCUGAUCAUGCAAAUUCUUCAAGAGCGCAAUCAAAGCAGUCAAGGGAAUCAAGGCAGCAAUAAGAGUCACUUUGCUACACUCAACCAGUUCCUUGCUAACGGGCCAAAGACUUUCAGCAAUUGUGUUGAGGCAACCGAUGCUGACGAUUGGCUUGUGGAUCUGUGUAAGCAUUUCGAGUGCAGUAACGUCAGACCUGAGGACUUUGUCAAGUUUGCUUCCUUCCAACUCAAAGAUCAAGCUGCAGAAUGGUUCCAGCAGUACAAGGAUUCCAGAGGUGGACGUGUUAUCACUUGGGAUGAUUUCCGUCGAGAUUUCCGAGCUCAUCAUAUUCCCCAGAGCGUGGCUGAAAGCAAGCAUGAGGAAUUCCGCAAUCUGAAGCAAGGCUCUUUGUCUGUCUAUGACUACAACAAGUUGUUCCAGAAGCUUGCCCGCUUUGCCAAGCAGGACGUGCAUGAUGAGAAGAGCAUGAUAUACCAGUUCAGCGGUGGUCUCAGAGAAGAUAUUCAGCUCGCUCUUGUUCUCUUCGAGCCCUUGAGAUACGAUGAGUUCUACAACAUGGCACUGAAGCAAGAGGCUGCUCAGUUGAGGUGUGAUGCUUCCAGGAAGCGAGUUAGAGAUGUUACUCCUUCUUCCUCUACUCAAGUGGCCAAGCAGCAGAAGUUUUGGCUUCCUCCUCCUCCGUUCCAUCAGCCGUAUCAGCAGAAGAGCAAAGGUGGCAGUGGUUCUUCCCACCCACCCAACCCUGGCUUUCAGAACAAGACUUUGUCUCAACCUCCAAGAUCGAGUGCUCCAUAUCACCGUCCGCUUUCAGAGGUCACGUGCAACAAGUGCCAACAGAAGGGUCACUAUGCCAACAAGUGUCUCAACCAGAGGCGUCUUCCUCCUCCUCCUCCUAUCAGAUCGGCAAGUACAGUUGUGGUCAAGCAUAACCCCAAGCAUGCCAAGGUUAAUUUGAUGAAUGCAGCUCAGGCAGAGGACUUGUCAGAUGUGAUCAUGGGUAACCUUCUUGUUAAUGAUAUUCCUGCAAAAGUUCUUUUUGACACUGGUGCAUCGCAUUGCUUCAUCUCGAGACCGUUUACAAAUAGGAAUGAAUUGGUUUCGCAAGUUUUGCCUAGUCCUUUAGGAGUUGUUUCUCCCGGUAAGCGCAUGCAUGCUAACUCCAUCGUUCCGGAUGUUUCUAUCAUUUUGGGUGACUACAAGUUCUUGGCUUCUCCUACGGUUCUCGGUGACUCGGAUAUUGAUCUUAUUCUCGGAAUGGAUUGGCUUUCUAAGCACAAGGCUCAGCUUGAUUGUGCAACCAGGCAGAUUCAAUUGACUCAUUCGUCUGAGGAUGUAAUUGUCUUUGCCUCUCAUGAUGAUACCAUUCGUCUGUUUUCUCUCAAUGAGAGGGGUGAAUUGGAUGCCAUCUCUCAAAUUCCAGUCGUUUGCGAAUAUCAAGACAUCUUUCCAGAAGAGCUUCCAGGAAUGCCUCCGCACCGGCCAGUUGAAUUCGUUAUUGAACUUGAGCCUGGCACGGAACCUGUGUGCAAGCGUCCUUACAAGCUUGGACCUGAAGAGUUGAAGGAGCUGAAGAAGCAACUCGAUGAGCAAGAGAGAAUGGGUCUCAUCCGGCCUAGUUCUUCUCCGUGGGGUUGUGGUGUUCUUUUUGUGAAGAAGAAGGAUGGAACGGACUGACUUUGUGUUGAUUACCGUCCAGUGAACAAGAAGACCAUCAAGAACAAAUACCCACUUCCCAACAUCAAUGAGUUGUUCGAACAACUCAAAGGUGCUCAAGUAUUCUCCAAGCUUGAUCUCCGUAUGGGUUAUCACCAGAUUCGCAUUCGUGAAGAAGAUAUUCCCAAGACAGCAUUCAGAACAAGCUUUGGUUCAUAUGAAUACACUGUCAUGUCUUUUGGCCUCGCCAACGCUCCUCCGACAUUCUCUCGCAUGAUGAACUUCAUCUUCAACGCCUACACCAAUGACUUUGUUUUGGUCUAUCUCGACGACAUUCUGGUUUUCUCCAAGAACAAGGAAGAUCAUGCCAAGCAUUUGCGUUUGGUUCUUGAUAAGCUCAGAGAACAUCAGUUCUACGAUAAGUUCUCCAAGUGUGAAUUUUGGCUCGAUGAGGUUCUUUAUCUUGGCCAUAUCAUCUCUGCCAAGGGCAUUGCAGUGAAUCCUGAGAAGGUGUCUGCAAUUGUGAAUUGGGAACCUCCUCAGAACGUGAAGCAACUCCGCAGUUUUCUCAGUCUCGCAAGCUAUUGCCGAAGAUUCGUUGAAAACUUUUCUAAGAUCGCGAAGCCUCUCUCAAAUCUUCUUCAGAAGCACGUCAAGUACGUUUGGUCUCCGGAGUGUGAUAUUGCUUUCAACACUUUGAAAGAGAAAUUGAUCACUGCUCCAGUUCUGACUCCGCCUGAUGAAUCCAAGCCGUACGAGGUCUUUUGUGAUGCCUCUCUCCAAGGUCUUGGCGCGGUUUUGAUGCAAGAGAAGAAAGUUGUUGCUUAUACAUCUCGCCAGUUGAAGCCUAAUGAGAAGAACUACCCCACUCAUGAUCUCGAGUUGGCGGCAGUUGUGCAUGCUCUGUUGACUUGGAGACAUCUUCUAUUGGGAAGAAAAGUGGACAUUUUCACUGAUCACAAGAGUCUCAAGUACAUCUUCACUCAGCCUAAUCUCAACCUCAGGCAAACUCGAUGGGUCGAAAUGAUUCAAGAGUAUAAUCCGAGUAUUGAGUAUACUCCAGGCAAGGCCAAUGUGAUUGUUGACGCUUUGAGCAGAAAGGCUUACUGCAACAGUCUGAUUCUUAAGCCUUUUCAACCCGAGCUUUGUGAAGCUUUCCGCAAACUUAAUCUGCAAGUUAUUCCUCAAGGUUUCCUCGCCAACCUUCAAGUCUCUCCUACCUUAGAAGACCAGAUUCGCCAAGCCCAGCUUCUUGAUGCUAUGGUGAAAAAGGUGAAGAUUGGGAUUGCCAAGAGUCAGUCCAAGUACAAGUGCUACCGCCUUGAUGACAAGGACACUCUCUUCUUCGAGGAUCGUAUUGUUGUGCCCAAAGGUGACCUCCGUAAAGUGAUCAUGAACGAGGCUCACAAUUCUCUCCUCUCCAUCCACCUUGGGAGCAUGAAGAUGUAUCAGGACCUCAAGCAAGCUUAUUGGUGGACUCGAAUGAAGCGCGAGAUCGCUCAAUUCGUGAAUGAAUGUGAUGUCUGGAGAAGAGUGAAGGUAGAACACCAAAGGCCAGCUGGUCUCCUCCAACCUCUUGCCAUUCCAGAAUGGAAGUUUGACCACAUUGAAAUGGACUUCGUAACUGGGUUUCCAAAGUCCAAGCGUGGCAAUGAUGCUAUAUUCGUUGUCAUCGACAAACUCACCAAAGUGGCUCACUUUCUGCCUAUCAAAGAGUCGAUCACUGCAGCUCAAUUGGCGGAACUCUAUACCUCUCGCAUUGUCUCUCUGCACGGUAUUCCUCAAGUGAUCUCUUCAGACCGUGGCAGCAUCUUUACCUCGAAGUUUUGGGAUUCUUUUCAGAAGGCCAUGGGCACUAACAUCCGCUUCAGCACAACUUUCCAUCCUCAAACAAGCGGUCAAGUCGAGCGUGUCAACCAGAUUCUUGAAGAUAUGCUCAGGGCUUGUGUGAUCUCCUUCGGCAUGAAAUGGGAGGAUUGUCUUCCUUAUGCUGAAUUCUCAUAUAACAACAGUUUUCAAGCAAGUUCGGGCAAGGCCCCUUUUGAAAUUCUGUAUGGCAGGAAGUGCCGUACCCCUCUCAACUGGUCUGAAACCGGUGAACGUCAGCUUUUGGGUAAUGACUUAAUCACAGAAGCAGAAGAAAUGUGCAAAGUCAUUCGUGAUAACCUCAAAGCAACCCAAUCCCGCCAGAAGAGCUACUAUGAUAGUAAGCACCGUGAUUUGGCUUUCGAGAUCGGAGAUCAUGUUUACCUUCGUGUCUCUCCUAUGAAAGGUACUCGUCGCUUCGGUAUCAAAGGGAAGCUUGCCCCUAGAUACGUGGGACCUUUCAAGAUUGUCAGCAAGAGAGGCGACCUCGCCUAUCAAGUCGAGCUUCCUUCAAACUUUGCAAAUGUUCAUGACGUGUUCCAUGUCUCUCAGCUUCAAAAGUGCUUCAAGACUCCUGACCGCACAGUCAACUUCGAGGACAUUGAGCUCCAAGAAGAUCUCUCCUAUUGUGAGCACCCAGUUGCUAUUCUUGAAGAGACUGAACGCAAGACUCGCAACAAGUCAAUCAAAUUUCUCAAAGUCAAAUGGUCACACCAUUCCGACCGUGAAGCUACCUGAGAACGCGAGGAUCACCUCCGUUCUGAGUACCCGGAGUUCUUUCAGUCCUAGAUCUCGGGACGAGAUCUUUUCGUAGUGGUGGAGUGUUGUAACGCCCCGGAUGUAACUUUCCCUAUUUGUACUCCAACUCUUGCCGUUUCCGGCGUUAAGUUAUAUUUAUUUCUCGGGUUCGGGUCUUUGUCUCCGUGUGUUGUUUUCUUUGUCAUGCAUCUUAUAUCAUGUCAUCAUGUGCAUUGCUUUUGCAUACGUGUUCAUCUCAUGCAUUCGAGCAUUUUCACCGUUGUCCGUUUUGCAUUCCGGCGCUUCGUUCUCCUCUGGUGGUCAUUUCUAGCUUUCUUUCGUGUGUGAGAAUUAAACAUUUCCGGAUUGGACCGAGACUUGCCAAGCGGCCUUGGUUUACUACCGGUAGACCGCCUGUCAAGUUUCGUAUCUUUUGGACUUCGUUUGAUACUCCAACGGUUAACCGCGGGACCACAAAGGCCUCAUGUGUGUUGCAGCCCAACACCCCUCCAAUUUGGCCCAAAACCCACCAAACUCUGCUCCAUGUCCUAGAGCGUUCGAUCACGAUCGCGUGGCCGAAAACCGCACCUCAUUUGGACUCUCCUAGCUCCCUCUAUGCCUAUAUAUAUAUACCCCCCAUUCCAAAUCUCGGAUUCUCUCCCCCCUAACCCUAAAAAAAAUAUCUCCGCCGCUGCCGAACAACGUCCGCGCCGAGCCGGACGUGUCCGGAUCCGCUGCCGCCUACCGCUGCUUGCCACGUGGCCUCGCCUGUCCCCGCCACCGCCGCGGCCCNNNNNNNNNNNNNNNNNNNNNNNNNNNNNNNNNNNNNNNNNNNNNNNNNNNNNNNNNNNNNNNNNNNNNNNNNNNNNNNNNNNNNNNNNNNNNNNNNNNNNNNNNNNNNNNNNNNNNNNNNNNNNNNNNNNNNNNNNNNNNNNNNNNNNNNNNNNNNNNNNNNNNNNNNNNNNNNNNNNNNNNNNNNNNNNNNNNNNNNNNNNNNNNNNNNNNNNNNNNNNNNNNNNNNNNNNNNNNNNNNNNNNNNNNNNNNNNNNNNNNNNNNNNNNNNNNNNNNNNNNNNNNNNNNNNNNNNNNNNNNNNNNNNNNNNNNNNNNNNNNNNNNNNNNNNNNNNNNNNNNNNNNNNNNNNNNNNNNNNNNNNNNNNNNNNNNNNNNNNNNNNNNNNNNNNNNNNNNNNNNNNNNNNNNNNNNNNNNNNNNNNNNNNNNNNNNNNNNNNNNNNNNNNNNNNNNNNNNNNNNNNNNNGCCGCGGGCUGCCGCCUUCGCCGCGAGCCAUCGCCGCCCGGCGUCGCUCCGCUGCCACCACCGGUCGCCAUCGCCGGUCCCGCCUCACCUCCUCACGCCGGCCGCCGCCCUGCCUGUCACCGGCGAACGGCGCUCCGGCCACCUCGGUUCGCGCGCGGGGUAAAAAAUGAACCCUAGAUCUGAUCUGAGAGAGGGUUUUUUUUCACUAAGUCCCUAAAUCUUUAGUCCAAGUUGCUAUGUUCGAGGCUCCGUAACUUUGCCUCCGUAGCUCCGAUUUGGGCAUACAGCAUAUCCAAAUGUUCAUCCCAGAGAGUACAUCAUUUCAUUCCAUUGCAUCAUUUUCAUUUGAGCUCAUCUCGGUGCCUGAAAUGCUGUUAGAAGAGGGCUCCGUGAGUUAAUUGUCAGAUCUGCUAGUUCAUCUUAGACUUUUGUCAUUUUUGCCAUGAUUGUUGUGUGCAUGAUAUGGUUGUGAGUCCUUCAUAUGUUUUGAUAAGGAUUUUGUCUUCUUUCCAGGGGUGCAACCCAUGCAUUUUUAGGAUGUGUGUGGUGACUUGUGCAAGCUUGCAAAGUGAGGCACCCGGUAAAUCAGUUUUCAGGGACUUCGUAGUUUUCACUAAGUCUGGGAUUAUUUAGUGUUGGGUAACGUAGUAAUUUCAAAAUUUUCCUACGCACACGCAAGAUCAUGGUGAUGCAUAGCAACGAGGGGAGAGUAUGAUCUAUGUACCCUUGUAGAUCGCAACGGAAGCGUUGACACAACGUAGAGGAAGUAGUCGUACGUCUUCUUCCCGAUCCAACCGAUCCAAGCACCGUUACUCCGGCACCUCCGAGUUCUUAGCACACGUACAGCUCGAUGACGAUCCCCGGGCUCCGAUCCUACAAAGCUUCGGGGAGGAGUUCUGUCAGCACGACGGCGUGGUGACGAUCUUGAUGUAUUACCGACGCAGGGCUUCGCCUAAGCACUACAAUGAUAUGAUCGAGGUGGAAUAUGGUGGCAGGGGGCACCGCACACGGCUAAGGAACGAUCUCAAUGAUCAACUUGUGUGUCUAGAGGUGCCCCCCUUCCUCCGUAUAUAAAGGAGCCAAGGGGAAGAGGUGCGCCGGCCAGGAGGAGGGCGCAGGAGGAGUCCUACUCCUACCGGGAGUAGGAGUCCCCCCCAAUCCUAUUCCAACUAGGAUUCCCAAGGGGGAAAGAGGGAGAGGGGUGGCCGGCCACCUCUCCUAGUCCUAAUAGGACUAGGGGAGGGGGGGAGGCGCGCAGCCCUUAUGGACAGCCCUUUCACCUUUCCACUAAGGCCCAAUAAGGCCCAUAUGACUCCCGGGGGGUUCCGGUAACCUCCCGGUAAUCCGGUAAAAUCCUGAUUUCACCCGGAACACUUUCGAUGUCCAAACAUAGGCUUCCAAUAUAUAAAUCUUUAUGUCUCGACCAUUUCGAGACUCCUCGUCAUGUCCGUGAUCACAUCCGGGACUCCGAACAACCUUCGGUACAUCAAAAUGCAUAAACUCAUAAUAACUGUCAUCGUAACAUUAAGCGUGCGGACCCUAUGGUUCGAGAACAAUGUAGACAUGACCGAGACACGUCUCCGGUCAAUAACCAAUAGCGGGACCUGGAUGCCCAUGUUGGCUCCUACAUAUUCUACAAAGAUCUUUAUCGGUCAGACCGCUGAACAACAUACGUUGUUCCCUUUGUCAUUGGUAUGUUACUUGCCCGAGAUUCGAUCGUCGGUAUCCAAUACCUAGUUCAAUCUCAUUACCGGCAAGUCUCUUUACUCGUUCCGUAAUACAUCAUCUCACAACUACCAUAUUAGUUGUAAUGCUUGCAAGGCUUAUGUGAUGUGCAUUACCGAGAGGGCCCAGAGAUACCUCUCCGACAAUCGGAGUGACAAAACCUAAUCUCGAAAUACGCCAACCCAAGAUGUACCAUUGGAGACACCUGUAGUACUCCUUUAUAAUCACCCAGUUACGUUGUGACGUUUGGUAGUACCCAAAGUGUUCCUCCGGUAAACGGGAGUUACAUAAUCUCAUAGUUAUAGGAACAUGUAUAAGUCAUGAAGAAAGCAAUAGCAACAUACUAAACGAUCGGGUGCUAAGCUAAUGGAAUGGGUCAUGUCAAUCAGAUCAUUCAACUAAUGAUGUGACCUCGUUAAUCAAAUAACAACUCAUUGUUCAUGGUUAGGAAACAUAACCAUCUUUGAUUAACGAGCUAGUCAAGUAGAGGCAUACUAGUGACACUUUGUUUGUCUAUUUAUUCACACAUGUAUUAUGUUUCCGGUUAAUACAAUUCUAGCAUGAAUAAUAAACAUUUAUCAUGAUUAUAAGGAAAUAAAUAAUAACUUUAUUAUUGCCUCUAGGGCAUAUUUCCUUCAGUCUCCCACUUGCACUAGAGUCAAUAAUCUAGAUUACACUGUAAUGAUUCUAACACCCAUGGAGCCUUGGUGCUGAUCAUGUUUUGCUCGUGGAAGAGGCUUAGUCAACGGGUCUGCAACAUUCAGAUCCGUAUGUAUCUUGCAAAUCUCUAUGUCUCCCACCUGGACUAGAUCCCGGAUGGAGUUGAAGCGUCUCUUGAUGUGCUUGGUCCUUUUGUGAAAUCUGGAUUCCUUUGCCAAGGCAAUUGCAGCCGUAUUGUCACAAAAGAUUUUCAUUGGACCCGAUGCACUAGGUAUGACACCUAGAUCGGAUAUGAACUCCUUCAUCCAGACUCCUUCGUUUGUUGCUUCCGAAGCAGCUAUGUACUCCGCUUCACAUGUAGAUCCCGCUAUGACGCUUUGUUUAGAACUGCACCAACUGACAGCUCCACCGUUCAAUGUAAACACGUGUCCGGUUUGCGAUUUAGAAUCGUCUGGAUCAGUGUCAAAGCUUGCAUCAACGUAACCUUUUACGAUGAGCUCUUUGUCACCUCCAUAUACGAGAAACAUAUCCUUAGUCCUUUUCAGGUAUUUCAGGAUGUUCUUGACCGCUGUCCAGUGAUCCACUCCUGGAUUAAUUUGGUACCUCCCUGCUAAACUUAUAGCAAGGCACACAUCAGGUCUGGUACACAUCAUUGCAUACAUGAUAGAGCCUAUGGCUGAAGCAUAGGGAACAUCUUUCAUUUUCUCUCUAUCUUCUGCAGUGGUCGGGCAUUGAGUCUGACUCAACUUCACACCUUGUAACACAGGCAAGAACCCUUUCUUUGCUUGAUCCAUUUUGAACUUUUUCAAAAUCUUGUCAAGGUAUGUGCUUUGUGAAAGUCCAAUUAAGCGUCUUGAUCUAUCUCUAUAGAUCUUUAUGCCUAAUAUGUAAGCAGCUUCACCGAGGUCUUUCAUUGAAAAACUCUUAUUCAAGUAUCCCUUUAUGCUAUCCAGAAAUUCUAUAUCAUUUCCAAUCAAUAAUAUGUCAUCCACAUAUAAUAUCAGAAAUGCUACAGAGCUCCCACUCACUUUCUUGUAAAUACAGGCUUCUCCGAAAAUCUGUAUAAACCUAAAUGCUUUAAUCACACUAUCAAAGCGUUUAUUCCAACUCCGAGAGGCUUGCACCAGUCCAUAAAUGGAUCGCUGGAGCUUGCACACUUUGUUAGCUCCCUUUGGAUCAACAAAACCUUCUGGUUGCAUCAUAUACAACUCUUCUUCCAGAAAUCCAUUCAGGAAUGCAGUUUUGACAUCCAUCUGCCAAAUUUCAUAAUUAUAAAAUGCGGCAAUUGCUAACAUGAUUCGGACAGACUUAAGCAUCGCUACGGGUGAGAAGGUCUCAUCGUAGUCAACCCCUUGAACUUGUCGAAAACCUUUUGCGACAAGUCGAGCUUUAUAGACAGUAACAUUACCGUCAGCGUCAGUCUUUUUCUUGAAGAUCCAUUUAUUCUCAAUUGCUUGCCGAUCAUCGGGCAAGUCAACCAAAGUCCAUACUUUGUUCUCAUACAUGGAUCCCAUCUCAGAUUUCAUGGCUUCAAGCCACUUUGCGGAAUCUGGGCUCACCAUUGCUUCUUCAUAGUUCGUAGGUUCAUCAUGAUCUAGUAGCAUGACUUCCAGAACUGGAUUACCGUACCACUCUGGUGCGGAUCUUACUCUGGUUGAUCUACGAGGUUCAGUAGUAUCUUGUUCUGAAGUUUCAUGAUCAUUAUCAUUAACUUCCUCACUUAUUGGUGUAGGUGUCGCAGAAACAGUUUUCUGUGAUGUACUAUUUUCCAACAAGGGAGCAGGUACAGUUACCUCGUCAAGUUCUACUUUCCUCCCACUAACUUCUUUGGAGAGAAACUCCUUCUCAAGAAAGUUUCUGAAUUUAGCAACAAAAGUCUUGCCUUCGGAUCUGUGAUAGAAGGUGUAUCCAAUAGUUUCCUUUGGAUAUCCUAUGAAGACACAUUUCUCCGAUUUGGGUUCAAGCUUAACAGGUUGAAGCUUUUUCACAUAAGCAUCGCAGCCCCAAACUUUCAGAAAUGACAACUUUGGUUUCUUGCCAAACCAUAGUUCAUAAGGCGUCGUCUCAACGGAUUUUGAUGGUGCCCUGUUUAACGUGAAUGCGGCCGUCUCUAGAGCGUAUCCCCAAAAUGAUAGUGGUAAAUCAGUAAGAGACAUCAUAGAUCGCACCAUAUCUAGUAAAGUACGAUUACGACGUUCGGACACACCAUUACGCUGUGGUGUUCCGGGUGGCGUGAGUUGCGAAACUAUUCCACAAUUUUUCAAAUGUACACCAAACUCGUAACUCAAAUAUUCUCCUCCACGAUCAGAUCGUAGAAACUUUAUUUUCUUGUUACGAUGAUUUUCCACUUCACUCUGAAAUUCUUUGAACUUUUCAAAUGGUUCAGACUUAUGUUUCAUUAAGUAGAUAUAACCAUAUCUGCUUAAAUCAUCUGUGAGGGUGAGAAAAUAACGAUAUCCGCCACGAGCCUCAAUAUUCAUCGGACCACAUACAUCUGUAUGUAUGAUUUCCAACAAAUCUGUUGCUCUCUCCAUAGUAUCGGAGAACGGUGUUUUAGUCAUCUUGCCCAUGAGGCACGGUUCGCAAGUACCAAGUGAUUCAUAAUCAAGUGGUUCCAAAAGUCCAUCAGUAUGGAGUUUCUUCAUGCGCUUUACAUCGAUAUGACCUAAACGGCAGUGCCACAAAUAAGUUGCACCAUCAUUAUCAACUCUGCAUCUCUUGGCUUCAACAUUAUGAAUAUGUGUAUCACUACUCUCGAGAUUCAAUAAGAAUAGACCACUCUUCAAGGGUGCUUGACCAUAAAAGAUAUUACUCAUAUAAAUAGAACAACCAUUAUUCUCUGAUUUAAAUGAAUAACCGUCUCGAUCAAACAAGAUCCAGAUAUAAUGUUCAUGCUUAACGCUGGCACUAAAUAACAAUUAUUUAGGUCUAAUACUAAUCCCAAAGGUAGAUGUAGAGGUAGCGUGCCGACCGCGAUCACAUCGACUUUGGAACCGUUUCCCACGCGCAUCGUCACCUCGUCCUUAGCCAAUCUUCGCUUAAUCCGUAGCCCCUGUUUUGAGUUGCAAAUAUUAGCAACAGAACCAGUAUCAAAUACCCAGGUGCUACUGCGAGCAUUAGUAAGGUACACAUCAAUAACAUGUAUAUCAUAUAUACCUUUGUUCACCUUGCCAUCCUUCUUAUCCGCCAAAUACUUUGGGCAGUUCCGCUUCCAGUGACCAGUCUGCUUGCAGUAGAAGCACUCAGUUUCAGGCUUAGGUCCAGACUUGGGUUUCUUCUCUUGAGCGGCAACUUGCUUGCCGUUCUUCUUGAAGUUCCCCUUCUUCUUCCCUUUGCCCUUUUUCUUGAAACUAGUGGUUUUGUUAACCAUCAACACUUUAUGCUCCUUUUUGAUUUCUACCUCCGCAGCUUUCAGCAUUGCGAAGAGCUCGGGAAUAGUCUUGUUCAUCCCUUGCAUAUUAUAGUUCAUCACGAAGCUCUUGUAGCUUGGUGGCAGUGAUUGGAGAAUUCUGUCAAUGACGCAAUCAUCUGGAAGAUUAACUCCCAAUUGAAUCAAGUGAUUAUUAUACCCAGACAUUUUGAGUAUAUGCUCACUGACAGAACUGUUCUCCUCCAUCUUGCAGCUAUAGAACUUAUUGGAGACUUCAUAUCUCUCAAUCCGGGCAUUUGCUUGAAAUAUUAACUUCAACUCCUAGAACAUCUCAUAUGCUCCAUGACGUUCAAAACGUCGUUGAAGUCCCGAUUCUAAGCCGUAAAGCAUGGCACACUGAACUAUCAAGUAGUCAUCAGCUUUGCUCUGCCAGACGUUCAUAACAUCUGGUGUUGCUCCAGCAGCAGGCUUGGCACCCAGCGGUGCUUCCAGGACGUAAUUCUUCUGUGCAGCAAUGAGGAUAAUCCUCAAGUUACAGACCCAGUCCGUGUAAUUGGUACCAUAUCUUUCAACUUUGCUUUCUCAAGGAACGCAUUAAAAUUCAACGGAACAACAGCACGAGCCAUCUAUCUACAAUCAACAUAAAUAAGCAAGAUACUAUCAGGUACUAAGUUCAUGAUAAAUUUAAGUUCAAUUAAUCAUAUUACUUAAGAACUCCCACUUAGAUAGACAUCCCUCUAAUCCUCUAAGUGAUCACGUGAUCCAAAUCAACUAAACCAUGUCCGAUCAUCACGUGAGAUGGAGUAGUUUCAUCGGUGAACAUCAUUAUGUUGAUCAUAUCUACUAUAUGAUUCACGCUCGACCUUACGGUCUCCGUGUUCCGAGGCCAUAUCUGUAUAUGCUUGGCUCGUCAAGUAUAACCUGAGUAUUCCACGUGUGCAACUGUUUUGCACCCGUUGUAUUUGAACGUAGAGCCUAUCACACCCGAUCAUCACGUGGUGUCUCAGCACGAAGAACUUUCGCAACGGUGCAUACUCAGGGAGAACACUUCUUGAUAAUUUAGUGAGAGAUCAUCUUAUAAUGCUACCAUCAAUCAAAGCAAGAUAAGAUGCAUAUAAAGAUAAACAUCACAUGCAAUCAAUAUAAGUGAUAUGAUAUGGCCAUCAUCAUCUUGUGCCUGUGAUCUCCAUCUCCGAAGCACCGUCAUGAUCACCAUCGUCACCGGCACGACACCUUGAUCUCCAUCGUAGCAUCGUUGUCGUCUCGCCAAUCUUAUGCUUCCACGGCUACCGUUUAGUGAUAAAGUAAAGCAUUACAUCGCGAUUGCAUUGCAUACAAUAAAGCGACAACCAUAUGGCUCCUGCCAGUUGCCGAUAACUCGGUUACAAAACAUGAUCAUCUCAUACAAUAAAAUUUAGCAUCAUGCCUUGACCAUAUCACAUCACAACAUGCCCUGCAAAAACAAGUUAGACGUCCUCUACUUUGUUGUUGCAAGUUUUACGUGGCUGCUACGGGCUUUAAGCAAGAACCAAUCUCACCUACGCAUCAAAAUCACAACGAUAGUUUGUCAAAUAGACUCUGUUUUAACCUUCACAAGGACCGGGCGUAGCCACACUCGGUUCAACUAAAGUUGGAGAGACAGUCGCCCGCAAGCCAUCUAUGUGCAAAGCACGUCGAGGGAACCGGUCUCGCGUAAGCGUACGCGUAAGGUUGGUCCGGGUCGUCUCGUCCAACAAUACCGCCGAACCAAAGUAUGACAUGCUGGUAGGCAGUAUGACUUGUAUCGUCCACAACUCACUUGUGUUCUACUCGUGCAAAUAACAUCAAACCAUAAAACCUAGGCUCGGAUGCCACUGUUGGGUAACGUAGUAAUUUCAAAAUUUUCCUACGCACACGCAAGAUCAUGGUGAUGCAUAGCAACGAGGGGAGAGUAUGAUCUACGUACCCUUGUAGAUCGCAACGGAAGCGUUGACACAACAUAGAGGAAGUAGUCGUACGUCUUCUUCCUGAUCCAACCGAUCCAAGCACCGUUACUCCGGCACCUCCGAGUUCUUAGCACAUGUACAGCUCGAUGACGAUCCCCGAGCUCCGAUCCAGCAAAGCUUCGGGGAGGAGUUCUGUCAGCACGACGGCGUGGUGACGAUCUUGAUGUAUUACCGACGCAGGGCUUCGCCUAAGCACUACAACGAUAUGAUCGAGGUGGAAUAUGGUGGCAGGGGGCACCGCACACGGCUAAGGAACGAUCUCAAUGAUCAACUUGUGUGUCUAGAGGUGCCCCCCUGCCUCCGUAUAUAAAGGAGCCAAGGGGAAGAGGUGCGUCGGCCAGGAGGAGGGCGCAGGAGGAGUCCUACUCCUACCGGGAGUAGGACUCCCCACCCCCAAUCCUAUUCCAACUAGGAUUCCCAAGGGGGAAAGAGGGAGAGGGGUGGCCGGCCACCUCUCCUAGUCCUAAUAGGACUAGGGGAGGGGGGAGGCACGCAGCCCUUAUGGGCAGCCCUUUCACCUUUCCACUAAGGCCCAAUAAGGCCGAUAUGACUCCCGGGGGGUUCCGGUAACCUCCCGGUAAUCCGGUAAAAUCCUGAUUUCACCCAGAACACUUCCGAUGUCCAAACAUAGGCUUCCAAUAUAUCAAUAUUUAUGUCUCGACCAUUUCGAGACUCCUCGUCAUGUCCGUGAUCACAUCCGGGACUUCAAACAACCUUCGGUACAUCAAAAUGCAUAAACUCAUAAUAACUGUCAUCGUAACGUUAAGCGUGCGGACCCUACGGUUCGAGAACAAUGUAGACAUGACCGAGACACGUCUCCGAUCAAUAACCAAUAGCGGGACCUGGAUGCCCAUAUUGGCUCCUACAUAUUCUACGAAGAUCUUUAUCGGCCAGACCGCAUAACAACAUACGUUGUUCCCUUUGUCAUUGGUAUGUUACUUGCCCGAGAUUCGAUCGUCGGUAUCCAAUACCUAGUUCAAUCUCGUUACCGGCAAGUCUCUUUACUUGUUCCAUAAUACAUCAUCUCACAACUACCAUAUUAGUUGUAAUGCUUGCAAGGCUUAUGUGAUGUGCAUUACCGAGAGGGCCUAGAGAUACCUCUCCGACAAUCGGAGUGACAAAACCUAAUCUCGAAAUACGCCAACCCAACAUGUACCAUUGGAGACACCUGUAGUACUCCUUUAUAAUCACCCAGUUACGUUGUGAUGUUUGGUAGUACCCAAAGUGUUCCUCCGGUAAACGGGAGUUGCAUAAUCUCAUAGUUAUAGGAACAUGUAUAAGUCAUGAAGAAAGCAAUAGCAACAUACUAAACGAUCGGGUGUUAAGCUAAUGGAAUGGGUCAUGUCAAUCAGAUCAUUCAACUAAUGAUGUGACCUCGUUAAUCAAAUAACAACUCAUUGUUCAUGGUUAGGAAACAUAACCAUCUUUGAUUAACGAGCUAGUCAAGUAGAGGCAUACUAGUGACACUUUGUUUGUCUAUUUAUUCACACAUGUAUUAUGUUUCCGGUUAAUACAAUUCUAGCAUGAAUAAUAAACAUUUAUCAUGAUUAUAAGGAAAUAAAUAAUAACUUUAUUAUUGCCUCUAGGGCAUAUUUCCUUCAUUUAGUUCAUGGUGCCAUAUGUUCAGCUUGUUUCCUAGUGAUCCGUGCCUCUUUUGAGGAUGAUCAGUAAAGGAGUUUUGUUAAUCAUGUUAUGCUCUAUCCAUCCAUGUCUUUGUUUGCAAUUAUGGGGCACCCUAGCUUGAGUCAAUCAAACUCUACUUUUGCUUCGUUGUGAGUCUGGGCAGAUCGUCAACUUGUUUGCGAUUUUGCCGAUGUUAUUGUAGUUGAUCCGUGCAUGCUAUGCCAUUGUUCUUGCCAUGUCUAGCUUGCAUUUUGUGCCUUCUUAAUGGAUGUAUGCUUGCCUUGCCAUGACUUGCACCGUGGUGAGUGCAUCGAGCUCGUUUACGUGCCUUCGUGAGUUAUAUUUCAUCAUGUCCCAUUUUUCACUAAGUCUGAAAACUGAUUAUAUUUUAUCUAUGUUCGUGUGCCCGUUAGUAUAUUUUAUGGACCCUUUUGGCCCCAAGUCAUUUUGGGUCUUUUGUUAAGCUUGUUGAGUAGCUCCAUGCCAUGUUAUUCUUUGUCUUAAUCAGGUCAUGUAUCAUAUUGUUUUUCUACUCCGAAGAGGGCUUCACGAUCUGAAAUUUUAGACAAGUGUUAAUUUCACUAAGUCUGGAAUCUGUUUUGCAUUUGUGUUUUUGCCAUGCUUGUUUGAACCUCAUAAUGGAUGAAUUGGCCGUGUCUCAGUGCUAGUCUUUUGUUAAGCAUCUUGUGUGCAUCCCUGCCAUGUAUUUUGUUGUCAUGUUUGGUGGCUGUAGCAUGUUCAUCUCAUUGCAUUUAGAUGCCUACUUGCUGUAAAUUGCAGACCGAUGUCAUUCUUAAAACGCUUGCCAUUUCCAAACCGUAACUUCGUUUCCAAUGAUCUUUAUAUCGUUUUCAAGCGAUUUCAUCCCCUCUUUCCAGUGGCACCCUUGGAAUUCCAUGUUGAGGCCAGGUUCAUGCAUUUCCUGCCAUAUCUUGCAUUUUGCAUCCCGCAUCGCAUCCCGCAUAGCAUAUCAUCAUUUCAUCAUAUUGCUUGGUCUUGCACGUGGUUGAUUGUAUCCUUGUUGCUUGUUUGUCUUGUUUGGGUAGAGCCGGGAGAUGAGUUCACUAAUGAGGAGCCCGUUGAGUUUGCUCUUGAGGAUCCAGUCAACUCUGACAACUGUGCAAGCAAGAUGAUCAUACCCUCGAAAUCACUACUAUCUUUGCUAUGCUAGUUUGCUCGCUCUUUUGCUGUGCCAUUGCUGCGAUGCCUACCUUUUGCUUGUCAGCCUCCCAAAUUGUCAUGUCAACCUCUAACCCACCAUGUCCUAGCAAACCGUUGAUUGGCUAUGUUACCGCUUUGCUCAGCCCCCUCUUAUAGCGUUGCUAGUUGCAGGUGAAGAUUGGAGGUCGUUCCUUGUUGGAACAUUUAUUUACUUGUUGGGAUAUCAUUAUAUUGCUAUGUUAUAUUAAUGCAUCUAUAUACUUGGUAAAGGGUGGAAGGCUCGGCCUCUCGCCUAGUGUUUUGUUCCACUCUUACCGCCCUAGUUUCCGUCAGAUCGGUGUUAUGUUCCAGAUUUUGCGUUCCUUACGCGGUUGGGUUAUUAUGGGAACCCCUUGAUAUUUCGCCUUGAUUAAAGCUUUUCCAGCAAUGCCCAACAUUGGUUUUACCAUUCGCCACCUAGCCCUUUUCUUUCCCUUGGGUUCUGCAGACUCAAGGGUCAUCUUAUUUUACCCCCACCCCCCGGGCCAGUGCUCCUCUGAGUGUUGGUCCACCUGUCAGCUACCGGUGUCCACCAGGGGCAACUCUGGGCUGGCCUACCCGUACCUAGGACAAUCUGAGUGUGCCCUGAGAAAGAGAUAUGUGCAGCUCCUAUCGAGAUUUGUCGGCACAUUCAGGCGGUGUUGCUGGUCUUGUUUUAACUUGUCGAAGUGUCUUGAGUUACCGAGAUACCGAGUCUGAUCGGAAUGUCUUGGGAGGAGGUCUAUUCCUUCGUUGACCGUGAGAGCUUGUCGUGGGCUAAGUUGGGACUCCCCUGCAGGGAUUGAACUUUCGAAAGCCGUGCCCGCGGUUAUGGGCAGAUGGGAAUUUGUUAAUGUCCGGUUGUAGAUAACUUGAACCUUAAUUAAUUAAAAUGAAUCAACUGAGUGUGUUACCGUGAUGGCCUCUUCUCGGCGGAGUCCGGGAAGUGGACACGGUGUUGGAGUUAUGCUUGCGCAGGUUGUUCUUCUAGAUUCUCGCUUGCACUUUGCCUCCUCUUCUCGCUCUCUUUUGCGUAUAAGUUAACCACCACAUAUGCUAGUCACUUGCUGCAGCUCCACAUAUAUAUUUGCCUAUCCUUCCUAUAAGCUUAAAUAGUCUUGAUCGCGAGGGUGCGAGAUUGCUGAGUCCCUGUGGCUCACAGUACUAUAACUCCAGAUGCAGGUCCAGGUGAUUCCGCUCCAGGUGACGAGUACGAGCUCAAGUGGGAGUUCGACGAGGACUCUCAGCGUUACUACGUGUCUUUUCCUGAUGAUCAGUAGUGGUGCCCAGUUGGGGGUGAUUGGGACCGUGUCGCAUGUUGGGUUCUCUUCUAUUUUGGCACCGUAGUCGGGCCAUGAGUGUGUUGGUUGAUGUAAUGUUAUUUAUGUUCUUGAUUGACGUGGCGAGUGUAAUCCAACUAUGUUAUCUCCCCUUAUUAUUUACAUUACAUGGGAUGUUGUGAAGAUUUCCUAACUUGCGACAUAUGCCUUCAAUGCGAUUAUGUCUCUAAGUCGUGCCUCGACACGUGGGAGCUAUAGUCGUAUCGAGGGUGUUACACGGGUGACCUUGGAAGCGGCGGUCUCUUUCUCCCAUGCGAAGUGCUCGGACGCGAGCGCCUUAGUGUUCUUGCAUAGGAGGUGCCGCGCAUCAGAUUCCACCGUGAUCAUCGACCGCGGCAUGAUCUCAUGGAGUGCCUCCUCCGGGUCGACGGGGACGGAGCGCGCUUGCUUGCGGGAAGAGCCGGGCUCCAUCGCGUCCACUUUCGCCUUCACCUCUGACUCCGGCAUGCGCAUUCGCGUGAGAGCCAUGGGCACGAGAAGCCUCCUCUACCCGGGCGAUGCUGGCGCCGGAGGGAAAGGUGAGACACCCGCCCUGCUCCGAAACAGAAGCGGCGCAGAGCUGGACAUGCAGGCGCGGGAUGGGUGGGCACGGCCCGCAUUCCGUCGGCGGGACGUGGAGUAGCUAGUGGCGGAUGAGACGAAGCUCGAGCUCUCGUCGGUGUCCACGUGCAACCGAUGGCAAUGCGGAGCACGAGCUCAUCCUCAUCCGGUGUGUCGCUGCUCGAUCUGUCGUCCACAUCCUUCAGCAGUCUGUCCUAGCCCAUGGGAUCAGGCUCACUGUCAAGUCCUGAUCGGAGUUGGCCAUGGCAAGGGGAGGUGACGAAUUUGGGAGGAAGUGGAGGCCACGAGGGAAGCGGAGAAGAGGAGUGUGGAGUGAGAAAGUGAGGGUUUGACUAGGGUUCAUCUGAUGUGGUGGGGUAUUUGCGGGGGCAUUAGCGGGGGAGGGGGGCUAGUGGGAGAAUCCGAUGUAUGGAGAGUGCUGGUCAGUUCAGUCAUUUGGGCUGGAUAUGGGGAGCCCAGUUGGGUGGCAUUUUUUUUCGCCCGGACACUGAACUGGAAGCUGUUGGGCGUUUGGGGCGGGUAUGGGGCUCCGGUUGUAGAUGCUCUAACCAGCUAGGUGCCUACCUCUAUUAUUUAGUAAGGGCAUCUCCAACGGUGACACCCAAAAUGGACCAAUCCACAGACGUGCACGAUGAGACGAAAGCAGGCCAUUCAACCAUGCCCACAUAUCUUUCAAACCGUAUUUGAACAAACCAAACAAAUUACACAUGAACUGGAUGAUUUUCAUCUAAGCUAGAUCACAUUCAUUACAUUUAAAAAAAUUCAUUUAAAAAGUGACCAUACCUAAACCUAGACUAAAUCUAAGACGAUGCACGUCCUUCGAGUCUUUGUUGUUCCCAUUCAUUCUCAUGUCGGGCACGGGUGUCCGUGUCCGAUGGCCAGCUCAGCCCCGCGGAGUAAAGAUGCGGCCGCCGACAAGGAAGAGUAGGACAUGGGACAUGGACAUGCUCACAUAACUUGAGGCCUUACUGUCUCCCAUGCCCUACUCCUCGUCAGACUACAUGACAUGUCCAUCACCGGUGGAUGUGAGGCCGAUGAUGUACGUGGAUGGGCCGGCCUCGUUAAUGUGCCCGUUCCAUUGAAGCAUCAUUGGUGCCGUGAAUGACGUGCAUCUGCAUUCUAUUCCUUGAUUGCUAGCACCGCCAAUGUGUCCGACUACGCCAUGACCGCAUUAUAGGUUGCGCGCGGCCUUGUACUGCCCAUGCUGCCCAGAGAUGAAGUUGGGAUUCCCCACGACCAUGGCCACCACGACCUUCUAGCUCUCGAGCUCGUCAUACAUUUGGCCCUCCGCCAACCUGUGUUGCUCGAGGAGAGAGAGAGGUUGUGCCACUGCUCCUCAUGGGCCGGUAGGAACACCAACAUUGGUUGCGGUGCCGACUGCUCCUCCGCCAUGGUGUCAUUGAUUGAAGUGCACAUGUGUUUGUCGGAAUCAGGGUUCCGAGGACCCUAAGGUUCGUAACUCUAGGGUGCACUCAUUCCUACCGCCCUAUCCUACCUUGCAGUUAGCCACGGCGAAGCUACAGCGAGAGCGAGCUAGCGGAAGUAGGCCGGAGACACAACAGUUACCCUGGUUCGGGCCACCUUGUGGUGUAAAACCCUACUCCUACUUGGUGGUUGGAUUGCACUAGCGAAAUAGAUCUAGUACAAGUGUUGGAGGGAAGAAUCGUCUACCUCAUCUAUGGUGGGACCCUGCCCUCCUUUUAUACAUGCCUUAGUCAUAUUCCUCCGAAAGCAUUGGCGGGAAGGGUUGCCACACGAUGGCAAUUUUGAAGGGGGACAAGGGCACAGUCUAUCCUGAAAAAAGGUGGUCUUCGCUUGCAAAGCCACCGUCCAUGAUGCACCGGUGGGAUCCAUGAUGACCUCUUCCCUACGUGCCCGUCGUCCUAGUCUUCUUGCACCGAUCAGGCAAACUUUGGGGAUCGCUUUGGGAACCGGUGUGUUGGCCCUGCUCCCUUAGAAUCCAAGAUGAAAUCCUCCUCAUUUGCGCCUGCUGGCAUGGUCUCUGGUGUCGUUCGCCGUUCCACACGUAACCCACGUGAAGGCAUGAAGCCAGGCGAGCAGCUCCUGACUUGCUUGUCUUCGCGAGGGGGCAUCACGAGGUGGCCAUGGGAGACCGCCUCGUGAGGCUCCGGUGCGGCCGCCUAGUCAUCUCAGGACGCCUGCCGAUGGGGGCCUCACGAGGGGUCUUGCUCGUGGUAUUUGCUAGUGGGCCACUGGAUGGACUUUUGUCAUGCGCCGCGCCCUGGGCUGAAGGCAGACGAACCUAGGUAUCCCCGGUCGCCCGGGCCUGACAGUAGCCCCCGGGCUAGCAGCGCGCACGUCUCCGCCCAUUAGGGGGGCUGAACAGCGCGGGCCCUAACCGCCUACGGGCCAGGCGUGAUGCGUGGCACUCGAUGAGCGGGGAACGCCCCCGCUUCUCCCACGACGCCUCGGCAACCACCCAGACUGACAUAAAUCCUACCCGCGCGCAUCACGAUGCCAUCAUUACCUUACUUGCCUAGCAUCUGCCUUCCUUCUCGUGCAUGAUUCCUCUCCCUUCUCCGGUUACCCGUUGCCUCUGCCCCAGCUACUUCGCCAUGGCGCCCCUAGUAGGAAAAAUAAAGUAGCGAGGGAGACGGCCAGGGAGGCGGCGCCGGAGCCUGCCCUCGACAGGUCCACAGUCAUCAAUGCCGAGGGGCUCGAUAAGGUUCUCCCAAUGACCGCAGCCGCCUCCAUUUAAUGGGGGGCUACCCGAAUCUAGUCGGCUUCACGUCCGGCCACCGAGCUCGACGUUACCUGCAUCCCUAUUCCCCUUCAUGCGCGCUUGACCGUCUUGCUACCACUGUUCUCUGACUUCUUCAUUUCUAUCCUCUCUCACUACCAGGUCCAUGCCUUGCACCUCGACCCGACCCCCGUUCUUCUUCUUAUGUGAAGGCUUCAUGGGCGUCCCCCCUUUGGUGGUGCUGCUUUGCCAUUUUUUUAGCAUGCCGGUGACCGCAGCGAACCAACGCUCUGGAUGCGUAUCGCUCUGCAUCGCGGAGGAUACGACAGGUGAUGGCAUCAACAUGGAGCUUGCCCACGAGGCAGAGGGCUUUAGCCAGCAAUGGGUGUACAUGGACGCAACCCAAUUCAGCCCUUACAGCUGAUUCCAAUGUCCCCGGUGGCGAGGAGCUCUGGAUGGGAGCACAAGAGGCUAGCUGACCCGAUACUGGCACGGGUGUGGAAGAGGUUGGCCGUCCUGAGGGUGGCGGGGGUAACGAUGGUCACAGUUGUGAGGGAGUUCCUCCAUCAGCGCAUUGGCCCCCUUCAGCGUCACUCCCGCCCGAUGUGGGCUUCAUUGGCCCGGAGGACCCAAUGCGGCUGCACAUGGGUAGCCUGCCGCUGGAGGUAUUGAGUGGGGUGCUUCGCUACUUGGCCGGGGAGGAAGAAGCGGAGGAGCCUCCUGAGGCGGGGCUCCUGUGCAUCUUAUCGGAACAAGGAGGCAUUUGUCGGUUCGAUGCCACGCUUUGACCAGUGGGGGCUACUUCUGGAGGGCCAUGAGGGGCCCCGAGACAACCCUUUCCUGGUGGUCCCUGACUUGGGAGGUCGUGAGGACGGCGAGACCUCAACGGCUGUCGCUAGAGAUGUCUGCGGGCCAUGCCAGUGGGCUAGCGACCCGCCUGCAAGCGCGGCUUGAAGCGCCGAUGGCACCGUCCUCCUGAGGUCGCGCUCGCCAGGCUCAGGUGAUGGGGGCGCAAGUGGGCCUCUGGAGGCGAAUACUACGAGGUAGCGGGCC
rnacentral:lncRNA from 1 species